AACAGAAUUAUUUAUAACCUUGUUUCAUAGAGCUGAGACAGAACAAAGCUUCUGAGAAAGAAAGUUUAAGGGGUCUUUAUAUGGGUUCCUGAGUCUGGCCUUCCUGCAGCUCUAUUUUCUGAACAAGGUCACAUCUACACCCUCUGUGCACACUCUUUAUGAGCACCUGAUCCCCCAAUUAAGACCUACACCUGCAGUGAUGAAACCUCCAUCUCAUCAAUUGCCAACUUUAACAAUCUCCCCAUCUCAAAAGAACUUCUUUAUGGCAGCGGCUCCUGGAAGUCUGAAUUGCUAAGACAAAAGUACCGUUUUGUGGAAAAUGUGUUUAUCUUCCACUUCUUGGGAUGAGCAUGCCAUCCAUUGUCAGCUUGGAUAAACAUGUUCACCUAUUUGGCACUAGGUAGAAGAGUUUCUCUUCCCAAAUGAUCAGUGACUAAAAGGUAUUAGAAUAAGACACACGGCAUGUGAUUUUUUUGGAAACAGGACACUAUGAGAGGAGAGCAGAACUGAGGGUGGGAGGUAGAUUCCUUUCUAUACCUUGCAGGACCAGGACUGAGUUUUAGAGUUCUCCUGAUGGAUAAUGCCACUUAAAAAGUCUAGAACUGAAAGUUAUGAGAACCAGAACAUUACAACCACUUCAGACACAGUCCAUACAUGUGUCUUUUCAUUAUCUGAAGGGCUCAAUCCCCGCUGUCAAGAUGACAGACCUCCUAGUGAAACCACCAUAAUCAUAUCUAAAGUCACAUGAAAAGUGAGACUAUUUCAUUUAAUUUUUUAAAAGUGAAUUUGUAAUGGUGGUUAGUUAUGGUCCACAGACUUUGGAGAUCUUAUGUAAGUUAUCACCUCUAAUCAAGGAAUGUAGCCUGAGAAAUUAAAUUCUAAAUUGUCAGAAUUUCCAAAAUUUUAUCUGCCACAAAUAUUUGGACUGAUAUGCACCAAGUUUAUUCUUUAUUAUGAUAACUCUUCUGGGCCCUUCUAACUUUUUCAUUUCUUGUAAUUCUUUUUUUCAAGUUCACUGAAUUGAAACAAAAUAGGUUGGAAUAAUCAGCACAAAUACUUGAAUCAUGUUAUUAUAAACAGUAUUUGUUUCUGGAAGGAAAUAUUUGCAUAUACAGCCAGACUCCCUGGGUUCUUUUAAUUACUAUCUGUGACUUUGGAUAAAUUUCCUUAAUUCCUCUGAUUCAGUUUUUUCAACUAUAGCAUGUGUUUUGAAAUAGUAUCUAACAUAUAGGAUUUUUGUGAGAAUCAAUGUAAGUCACUCCAAGGAGGGCCUGACACAUGUAGAUAUAAGUUGUCAUUAUUAUUAUUAUUAUUAGUUAUUAUUAUUAUUAUUACCAGUACAGAGUUGUUAAUUCUAUUUUACAUCCAUUAUUAACUCAGAUCUCUGUUCUAAAUGCUCUACAUUUACCAAUAUUCUCUCUCUUCUCCAGAUGCUCUCCAAGGGGAACCGUAUAGUCGGAUCUUUGGAGCAAAGUUGUGUUGAACUUAGUAGGGACAAAUAUGAGGAAUAAUAUAACCACUAAAGUAGUAUGAAAUUAGGAUGGUUAAAUAAUAGAUUAAAUUUAAAAAAGAUAUUCCUCUUUUUUUGUCUUUUUUUUAAUAUAUUUUUAGGGCUGCACCCAAGACAAGGAGGUUCUCAGGCUAGGGGUCAAAUCAGAGCUGUAGCCACUGGUCUAUGACACAGCCACAGCAAUGACAGAUCCAAGCUGCAUCUGUGAUCUACACCACAGCUCAUGGCAAGGCCAGAUCCUUAACCCACUGAGUAAGGACAGGGAUUGAACCUGCAUCCUCAUGGAUAGUAGUCAGAUUUGUUUCCCUGAGUCAUGAUGUAGCCUGAUUCAGAGGUAGCCUUAAUUUGGGUAAGACAAUCAAAACAUGCAGUCCUCUAGGGCAGAAUUGACGUCUAUUUGCAAAAACAUGUCAAUUAAGUUACUCUUUUUAUUUAGUAGGUGAAUAUUUAUAGACUCAAAGUUUGAGAAAUAAACUAAGAAGAAUUUUCACUCCUCAAUAAUAUUUUCAGUUGUCAGUGGAUUGGAAGUCAUCAUAAUCCAUGCUUCUCUCUGGAGACUAUAUACAAAUAUUUGUACUCAAUUGAUAGUUGAUUUUGUGAUGAUUACAGGCCAGAAAAUUUUAUUUCCUCAUGAAUAAUGUUUAUUUGCAUCCUGUAUCUAUUAGUUUCCCUUUCUUGCAUUCCACAUUUAUUUUAUUUUUUUGAUGCCUGCUUCCAAAAAUAUUUAUGGAAGCAAUGUUGACUUAAGGCUUCAUUUACAUAUUGAUCAAAAAAUUAUGUAUUAAGUACUCUUAUAUUCCAGCUAUCAUACUGAGCUGUUGAGUAAAACAAUGUUAUUCAAAAAACAUUCCCUUUAAUAAAAAUUUAAGAUUGAGUUUUAAAGACAAACAUAUACGUCCCUAAAAUUAAGCAUAAUAAAGUGCUACAAUGGAGUAAAAAUAUGGUGGUCUCCAGAAAAUCAUUCACAAUAUUUACUAUGACAUUUAGAGGUAAGUGUAAGCCUUUGAGAUUUAAACAAAAUCUUUUGAUUUGUAUUCAUUUAAUUUCACCUUGAACUUUAGACAAUUUGCCAAAGGAGCUUAGAGACAUAAUUUAUAAAUCAUUCACUAAUUUAUCAGAAAUCAUUUUGUACAAAAUAUUUAUAAAAAGUCUUUUUCUUGGAAGUAAAUAGAAUAGGAAACAAAUCCACACAGGGUGAAGUAAGAUGAGUUAACCAGUAUUUCUUGGUUUCCACGAGGCAAGUCAAUUCAUCUUAAUUCAAAUUUUUCGAUGUAUCCCCACCACCUAGUACCCAAACCUCUGCUCAGUGUUUUGAGUAAAAAAUAGUAGAAGAAGAAUGUAAAAUUUAAAUGAGGUCAAAGCAUUACAUAUUAGCAGUGUUGAAAAGAGUAGAAGACAUUAUAAAAUACAGCUUAAUAGAAUACCUCCAAGUAUUGCAAAAUUAGAUUAAUUACUGGAGCCAAGGAGAGUUGCUAGGGAAAGUUGAAAUGAGUUUUGGUCAAUUAAUUCUAUUUAUAUAUGUGUUAAAAGGAAUUGUGUCUCUAUCUCCAUAUAUCUCUUUUUAGCAAAAUGUCAUCUGCUUUCCUAGAUAGUCUUCAUUUUUGAAAAACUCUGCUUGUACCCCAAAAAGAUUGGUCAUCUGGCCCAUAUACCACCAUGUUUCAUUCAAAAUAUUUCACUGAAGUGUGUAUAUCACAGGACUGAGAUGAAAAGGAGACCAGAGCCGGAAUUCAUUAUCAUGUUUCUCUUUAUACAAACUUGCAGACAAGCUCUAAUUAUGAGGAAGUAGAAGUAUUUGCUGCAUAGAGUGAUGCUGUCUUAAUAAAAUUUUGUAACCAACAGUCUUUAUGUUUUGCUUAUAUCCCUCUUCUCCCUUUUCUUAUUUGGGAGCACUUCAUCUAAAUCAUUGCUUGUUGGACAGUCUUUUGUGAAUCAUAAUCUGCUCUGAUACCACUAUCAGUGAAAAUGGUGCUGUCAACAUUUAUGUCAACGCUGAGGUUGUAAUUUUUGACAGUAAUGUUCCUGGGCUUGAUCUAAAACUCUCUGUUCAGGUUGACAGAGCUGCUUGUCAGAGUCCUUUUUGCCUGACACUUCUAAGUGACUAAGGACCUGGUGGGACUCAUUCUAGGAAAAAAUAAUCUCAUUCUGAGUUCUACCAUUAGGUCCAUGGCUCAUCUGGAAGCACUGCCCAUGUUGCCAAGAGAGAAAUGAGUCUAUAAGUGCAGUGAGUUGGGUCACCAGAGGGUUGCUGUAUAAUGUUCAUUAAUAUCUCUAAAAAUAAAACACUCCAGUGGUGUUUUUGCCUGAAGGCUUGGCCUUGUCAAGACCCAAUGCAUAAAUCUGAAACCCCAUUAAAGGACAUUGGUCUUACUUCUUGUUUCAAAUAUUACGUUUUAACUUAAUUUCUUGUUUUGAAUUACAAAAUUAUACUCUAAAAUGUUAUGAUUUGUAUGAUUAAAGUGCUUUAUUUUGAAUGUUUCUUCUUUAUCCCACUCAUUACUAUGCCCCAAUUGUGUUGUGUUCCUUUCUUCAUGCUUUUUUUUUUUUGGUUAAAUAUUUCAUCUUCCAGAAAUUACCUCCACUUCUUUGUAAUUAUUAGAUUAGCAAAAUUUAAAGAAAUACAAGAUUACACAAAACUAGUAAUAUGUGGUACAUUCAUAUAAAACUCCUGAUGCUAUAAAUUGGUAUAAGCCUUUUCAAAGUCAAUUUAGAAUUAUAUAACAAAAACUGGGAGAGAAGAUGUAUAUAUAUUAUAUAUAUGCAUUUACAUAUACAGAAUAUAUAUACAUUUGCAUAUAUACAUUUGCAUUUGUAUGCACACACAUACACACACACCCAUACCUCUUCCAAUAAUUUUACACUUGGGAAUACAUCCUAACAAGAUAAUUCCAAGUAAGGUAAAAGCUAUAUGCACAAAAGCAUUCAUUACAACAUUAUUUUAAUGGUUAAAAUUGGUUAUAAGUAGAUGUCCAAUAAAAAACUGCUAAACAUAUCAUAUUACCUCAGUUGAUGACAUCAUAUUAAUAUUAAAAGGUAUAAAACUCAGUUUACCAUUUUCUACCUCUGUGAUCACACAUCCUCAAUUUUCCUUUUGAACUGCUUCUUCUUGUGCAGCCCAAAUAUAAAUAUAAUCUAACUCUAUUUUUGCACUAUUCUGGGGUUUGCAGCACCACUGAGAAUUGUUCCAUGAUAACACUUUUCCAAAUAUGAUUAUGACCUCACUAGAAAUGUAAACCUAUUGUGGAUAAGAACAGUGCCUUUUCUAGCCCUAAUCUAGACACUAAAAUAUUAUAGACCAUCAAUAAGUGUGAACAGAAUUGCUCAACACUAAAAACAAAUAACAGUAAUUCUUUGGUGAGCAACAAAAACAAAAUAUAAAAAAAUUGCAAUGUUGUAAGAUUUAAAUGUAUUGAUUGUGAGAACAAGGAGUCAAGAUGAACAAAGAAAAAAAAUGAUUCCCAGAUUAGAUUGCUGUGAUUAUGAGUAAUUUAAUUUUUAUUAUUUCUUUUACUGUUGUAAAUAAAAAUUAAAAAGGGAUAUCAGGAGUUCCCGUCAUUGUACAGCAGAAAUGAAUCUGACUGGGAACCAUGAGGUUGUAGGUUCGAUCCCUGGCCUCACUCAUUGGGUUAAGGUUAUGGCAUUGCCCUGAGCUAUGGUGUAGUUCGCAGACACGGUUCAGAUCUGGUGUUGCUGUGAUUGUGGCUUAGGCUGGCGGCUACAGUUCCCAUUGGACCCCUAGCCUGGGGACCUCCAUAUGCCAUGGGUGCAGCCCUAAAAAAG
rnacentral:lncRNA from 1 species